rnacentral:tRNA from 1 species
GGUAAGGUGGCCGAGAAGGUGGUGGGUUGUAGCCCCAAAUACGGAGGUUUAAGCCCUCCCCUUGCCA